GGGAUACCAGAUGAGGGCAUCUGGGUCACCUCCACCCGUGUUUAUUUUACCUUGUUGCUUCGGCGGGCCCGCCUUAACUGGCCGCCGGGGGGCUUACGCCCCCGGGCCCGCGCCCGCCGAAGACACCCUCGAACUCUGUCUGAAGAUUGAAGUCUGAGUGAAAAUAUAAAUUAUUUAAAACUUUCAACAACGGAUCUCUUGGUUCCGGCAUCGAUGAAGAACGCAGCGAAAUGCGAUACGUAAUGUGAAUUGCAAAUUCAGUGAAUCAUCGAGUCUUUGAACGCACAUUGCGCCCCCUGGUAUUCCGGGGGGCAUGCCUGUCCGAGCGUCAUUGCUGCCCUCAAGCCCGGCUUGUGUGUUGGGCCCCGUCCCCCGAUCUCCGGGGGACGGGCCCGAAAGGCAGCGGCGGCACCGCGUCCGGUCCUCGAGCGUAUGGGGCUUUGUCACCCGCUCUGUAGGCCCGGCCGGCGCUUGCCGAUCAACCCAAAUUUUUAUCCAGGUUGACCUCGGAUCAGGUAGGGAUACCCGCUGAACUUAAGCAUAUCAAUAAGCGGAGGAAAGGGGGGACCAGGGGCCCGCGCCCCCCCAUUUUAUUCCCUUUUUUUUUAUUUAUAUAUUCAUUUU
rnacentral:misc_RNA from 1 species